rnacentral:rRNA from 1 species
GACGAACGCUGGCGGCGUGCUUAACACAUGCAAGUCGAACGGAAAGGCCCCUUUGGGGGUACUCGAGUGGCGAACGGGUGCGUAACACGUGAGUAACCUGCCCUUGACUUCGGGAUAACUUCAGGAAACUGGGGCUAAUACCGGAUAGGAAUCCUUGCUGCAUGGUGGGGGUUGGAAAGCUUCGGCGGUUUUGGGUGGACUGACGGCUUAUCAGCUUGUUGGUGGGGUAGUGGCUUACCAAGGCGUUGACGGGUAGCCGGCCUGAGAGGGUGACCGGCCACACUGAGACUGAGAGAAGGCCGAGAUGCCUACUGGAGGCAGCAGGGGGGAAGAUUGAACAAUGGGCGGAGGCCUGAUGCAGCAACGCCGCGGGCGGGAUGACGGCCUUCGGGUUGUAGACCGCUUUCAGCAGGGGCGAAGCUUGUGGUGACGGUACCUGCAGAAGAAGCACCGGCUAACUACGUG